UACGUAGGGUCCAAGCGUUGUCCGGAUUUGUUGGGCGUAAAGAGCUCGUAGGCGGUUCGGUAAGUCGGAUGUGAAAACUCAGGGCUCAACCCCGAGACGCCAUCCGAUACUGCUGUGACUUGAAUCUGGUAGGGGAGAACGGAAUUCCUGGUGUAGCGGUGAAAUGCGCAGAUAUCAGGAGGAACACCGGCGGCGAAGGCGGUGCUCUAGGCCAGUAUUGACGCUGAGGAGCGAAAGCGUGGGUAGCAAACAGG
rnacentral:rRNA from 1 species